GGGAACCACUGACAGGUGUUUUCGUGGAGCACGUCCUGAACGUGUUCAGAGGAAGAACGCUUGCGCAUUAGAAUUUUGGCUGUUCGCGGUGUUGAAAAAUCCUCCUCUGAAUAAAAAGUUCUCUGUUCGCGGAGCGCAACAACUUGUCCUGAACGUAUUCGGAAUGCGUUCAACAAGUUCUGGGAUUAAAGAGAGGAUUUAUUGUCCGCACAUGUGCAGAAGUUGAUUUGACGAAUUUAUUUAUUUUGUUAAGAGAUUCGAGAUUGUAUUUCUAACCUAACAAGUUUAAAAUUUUGAAUUGUUGUGUUAUCAUACAAAUGUUGUAAAAGAUGAUGAACCUCAGUUCAAGUGAUGAAGAUUUGGAAGAGAUUGUAGGACUUUUAAAUGUUCCAAAAAAUGCAAAUUUUUUUGAGGAAACUGUGCGAAACAUUUUUGUGGGGAAACUAUUUAAUAACUAACAAUUUAUACAGAAUUUUAGAUUAAGUAGAGACUUAGCUGUAGAUUUGGCAAAUAAGUAUGAAAGAUCUCAUUUCCACAAUAUUAUGUAAAAUUACUUUUCCUGUUUUGGAGUGUUGUUUGUCCUAGCGUAGAUAAAGAUAAAAGAAUAAGGUUAGGCAAUUGGCAUAGGCAACCCAAAAAACAUCCGGAAAUUGUUCGUGCAGAAACAAAUUCAGAAUAUAUUCGGAGACACGCUUGCGCAUAUAUUUGUAUCCGGGUUAAGUUCAGAAUACAUUCAGGAUGUGCUCCACGAAAACACCUUAAUAACAAUAUUUUAGGACUGGAAGGAGUAAGAACAGAAUCGAGAGUUAUCAAGUAACUCUAUGAGAAUACGGUAACGUUAUAAAUAACAUGUAAAGUAUACAGUAAAAUAGCGUUACCGUAUUCUCCUAGGGUUACUUGAUAACUCUCUAAUGUCAAGAAAUUCUUCCCAAAUAUCUUGUGCGUCUGUGCGAACUUAAAAUCCGAAACAAAAUCCUCGGACGUCGAGAGCGUAUCCCGGACACGUUCAGGAUCUUUUUUCUGUAAUGCGCGAACACCGAAUUAAAAAUCCGGAGGGUGUUCAGAGGGAAAGAUUUGAGCUCCGCGAACGCUCAAUUUUGUUCUCCCUCCUGGCUCCUGGGUAUACCCAGGAUGUCCUGCGCAGUCAAAGCUACAGAAUGAAAAUGUAAACAACCACAAACCGAUAUUUCUAUAGGACCUCUACGCGCUAUUGCCAAAUGUGUUCCGGAUAUACGUAAUAGGGUGAGGUAGAGAAUUUCAUAGAACAUUUUAUAUAAAUCAUACAAGAAUCUACAGGUCGAGCAAGUCUCGUAAAUUUCACGAUUGCGAGCCACGCUUCACGCAACCGUGUUUGCGUACUUGUGUUUCAAGUUGCGUGGUCGUACGGAGUUAUAUUUACCAAAUUUAAAUAUAAUCGUUUUCAAAAUUAAAUCAAUAUGUCAAUAUGGCUACUGGGUGUAAAAGAUAAAUCUUAUUCUAUCUGUUCUUAAUGAGUUUUAGAUAAUUUUAGUUGUAUUUCUUUGUAAUUUUGUGUUGUACAAAGAUUAAUUUAACAUUUUCUCUGGAAGUAUUAAUUUAGAAAGAUAAUAUGCUUCAUUGGUGUUGUGUUUUGAAGUGUGAAAUGUGAUAAAGUCAAGAUAAAGUUCACUUUUAAACUGAACUAAAUAAGGUAUCUGAGAGACAACAAUGGUUAAAUGCAAUACAAUGUACAGGUUUGAAAAUGAAACUUUUCAAUGUACAAUGAAAAUUUUCCUGUCCUGUCUGCUGUAAUCAUUUUAUAUCUGGAAAACCAGCCGACUUAAUAGAUAAUAACAAUCUCCAGAUUGGGUUCCUUCAAUAAAUAUGGUCUAUAAACACAAUGAAAUAAGUUCCCCAAAAUCUAAAAUGGAGUGGUAUCAAAGGAGAAUUAAAGGGAAAAAUAUUCAUAUUGAAAUUAUUUAUAAGGCACUGGACUGUCUUAAAUUCUACAAUAAUACUAGAAUCAGCUGAGAGAAGUGGUCUACAAAAAAACCAGGAAGGAAACGGAAUAUGUGGCUACGAAAGGCAAAAGAAAGGUUUACAAAGCAAAUGUGACACAUUUUUUUGAAAUAUUUAGGAAUAUCAGUAAAUUGCAUUAAAAAAAUGUAUGAAAAGAUUUUGUUCAAUAAAAAUGUUUAUAUUUA